rnacentral:snoRNA from 1 species
GUUACAUGAUGAAUAAAAUCAGAUCACCAUCUUUCGGCUGAGCUCAUGAUGGAUUUGCUUUUUUUCUGAUAAAGC